UUAUAGACGAAAUAGACUUUUAUGUAAGCUUAAAUAAUACACAGACGAAAACUUUUUUUAAUUUAAUUUUUAUUUUUACAAACUAAAAACGACAAUCUUAGCCUGAACCCAAGACAAACUGAAUGAGGGUAUUUAGACAAACUGCAUGAAAAGAUUGAAAUAGACAAUUCAAAUGGGUAAACAUUCUGACAGUGACAGUGAGAAGAAGAAAAGAAAAAAGAAGAAAAAGAAAAGAUCAAGGUCAAGAUCAAGUAGUG